UAAUCUACCUUUGGAUGGGGAAUAACAAUCGGAAACGGUUGCUAAUACCGCAUAAUGCAGCGGCACCUAAUGGUGACAGUUGUUAAAGCGGGGGAUCGAAAGACCUCGCGUCUGAAGAGGAGCCUGCGGCGGAUUAGCUAGUUGGUAAGGUAACGGCUUACCAAGGCUAUGAUCCGUAGCCGGCCUGAGAGGGCGGUCGGCCACACUGACACUGACAUACGGGUCAG
rnacentral:rRNA from 1 species